UGGGGAAUUUUGGACAAUGGGGGAAACCCUGAUCCAGCCAUCCCGCGUGUGCGAUGAAGGCCUUCGGGAUGUAAAGCACUUUUGGCAGGAAAGAAACGUCAUGGGUUAAUACCCCGUGAAACUGACGGUACCUGCAGAAUAAGCACCGGCUAACUACGUGCCAGCAGCCGCGGUAAUACGUAGGGUGCAAGCGUUAAUCGGAAUUACUGGGCGUAAAGCGUGCGCAGGCGGUUCGGAAAGAAAGAUGUGAAAUCUCAGAGCUCAACUGUGGAACUGCAUUGUUGACUAACGGGCUAGAGUGUGUCAGAGGGGGGUGGAAUUCCGCGUGUAGCAGUGAAAUGCGUAGAUAUGCGGAGGAACACCGAGGGCGAAGGUAGCCUCCUGGGAUAACACUGACGCUCAUGAACGAAAGCGUGGGGAGCAAACAGG
rnacentral:rRNA from 1 species